GCGCCCGUAGCUCAAUUGGAUAGAGCGUCGGCCUCCGGAGCCAAAGGUUGGAGGUUCAAAUCCUCUCGGGCGCACCA
rnacentral:tRNA from 1 species